GAACUGAGACACGGUCCAAACUCCUACGGGAGGCAGCAGUGAGGAAUAUUGGUCAAUGGACGAGAGUCUGAACCAGCCAAGUAGCGUGCAGGAUGACGGCCCUAUGGGUUGUAAACUGCUUUUAUAGGGGGAUAAAGUGUGCCACGUGUGGCAUAUUGCAGGUACCCUAUGAAUAAGGACCGGCUAAUUCCGUGCCAGCAGCCGCGGUAAUACGGAAGGUCCGGGCGUUAUCCGGAUUUAUUGGGUUUAAAGGGAGCGUAGGCCGUUUGGUAAGCGUGUUGUGAAAUGUCGGGGCUCAACCUGGGCAUUGCAGCGCGAACUGCCAGACUUGAGUGCGCAGGAAGUAGGCGGAAUUCGUCGUGUAGCGGUGAAAUGCUUAGAUAUGACGAAGAACUCCGAUUGCGAAGGCAGCCUGCUGUAGCGCAACUGACGCUGAAGCUCGAAAGCGUGGGUAUCGAACAGGAUUAGAUACCCUGGUAGUCCACGCGGUAAACGAUGGAUGCUCGCUGUUUGCGUCUGACGUAAGCGGCCAAGCGAAAGCGUUAAGCAUCCCACCUGGGGAGUACGCCGGCAACGGUGCAACUCAAAGGAAUUGACGG
rnacentral:rRNA from 1 species